CCUACGGGUGGCAGCAGUGGGGAAUAUUGGACAAUGGGGGGAACCCUGAUCCAGCCAUGCCGCGUGUGUGAAGAAGGCCCUCGGGUUGUAAAGCACUUUCAGUGAGGAAGAACGCCUGGUGGUUAAUACCCAUCAGGAAAGACAUCACUCACAGAAGAAGCACCGGCUAACUCCGUGCCAGCAGCCGCGGUAAUACGGAGGGUGCGAGCGUUAAUCGGAAUUACUGGGCGUAAAGCGCGCGUAGGUGGCUUGAUAAGCCGGUUGUGAAAGCCCCGGGCUCAACCUGGGAACGGCAUCCGGAACUGUCAAGCUAGAGAGCAGGAGAGGAAGGUAGAAUUCCCGGUGUAGCGGUGAAAUGCGUAGAGAUCGGGAGGAAUACCAGUGGCGAAGGCGGCCUUCUGGACUGACACUGACACUGAGGUGCGAAAGCGUGGGUAGCAAACAGGAUUAGAUACCCCAGUAGUC
rnacentral:rRNA from 1 species